rnacentral:rRNA from 1 species
GCACAAGCGGUGGAGCAUGUGGUUUAAUUCGAUGCAACGCGAAGAACCUUACCUGGCUUGACAUCCCGGGAAUCCCUUGGAAACAAGGGAGUGCCCUUCGGGGAACCUGGAGACAGGUGCUGCAUGGCUGUCGUCAGCUCGUGUCGUGAGAUGUAGGGUUAAGUCCCGCAACGAGCGCAACCCUUGUCUUUAAUUGCCAUCAUUGAGUUGGGCACUUUAAAGAGACUGCCGGUGUUAAGCCGGAGGAAGGUGGGGAUGACGUCAAGUCCUCAUGGCCUUUAUGCCCAGGGCUACACACGUGCUACAAUGGGUGGUACAAAGAGAUGCCAACUCGCGAGAGCGCGCCAAUCUCAGAAAGCCAUCCUCAGUUCGGAUUGGAGUCUGCAACUCGACUCCAUGAAGUUGGAAUCGCUAGUAAUCGCGGAUCAGCACGCCGCGGUGAAUACGUUCCCGGGCCUU